ACUCCUACGGGAGGCAGCAGUAAGGAAUAUUGCGCAAUGGACGAAAGUCUGACGCAGCGACGCCGCGUGGGGGAUGAAGGUCUUCGGAUUGUAAACCCCUUUCGGGAGGGAAGAUGGAGUGGGUACCACUUGGACGGUACCUCCAGAAGCAGCCACGGCUAACUUCGUGCCAGCAGCCGCGGUAAUACGAAGGUGGCAAGCGUUGUUCGGAUUCACUGGGCGUACAGGGAGCGUAGGCGGUUGGGUAAGCCCUCCGUGAAAUCUCCGGGCCUAACCCGGAAAGUGCAGAGGGGACUGCUCAGCUAGAGGAUGGGAGAGGAGCGCGGAAUUCCCG
rnacentral:rRNA from 1 species